CAAAGUCAUUAGUUUUUAUGGUUAAUCCUAUAAUAUAAUAAUUAUACACCGAUUAUUAUCCUUUUAUGUUUUGCUCAGACUUUUCGUCCAUCGUGAAAUGUGACGCCCUCGAAAACGCCAAAAGGCAAAAACGUGUGGCAGAUGAAAUAAGGCACAUAAAAUGUCCGAUUAUUAAAUUAGUGAGGAGACAGAUUGAAAACGCCGAACACCGGAUUUGUGAUAGCUUUGCUGCUUGUGAAAGAAACCGAUCUUGGAAAAACAAACUAUGGAGAAAAAGAUGGACCAUUCUGAAAUAUCUCAUAACCUUGAUGGUAAUGUUAUGUCUAUUCGUCUAUGGAGCAUUGAUUGGUGCCGGAUUGUGUUCGUGUAGCGUAUCCCAACAUAGUCUCCCUUGUGCCGGUACAUUUUCCUUAUUACCAGGACUGAAUUUUGCCAAAAGACAUACAUUUAUUUAUUAGGAAUUAUUUUUAUUAUGAUAUCUAGUCUUAUAUACACUAAUCUUAUAAAAAAAAUUACCAAAUAUAUAUUUUUUUAAAUAGGA